rnacentral:rRNA from 1 species
GCGAGAAAAACUUUGCAAUGUGCGAAAGCACGACAAGGUUAAUCCGAGUGUUUCCUGCUAAAGGAACCUUUUUGUCGGUCCUAGAAACACCGAUGAAUAAGGGGGUGGGCAAGUUCUGGUGUCAGCCGCCGCGGUAAAACCAGCACCUCAAGUGGUCAGGAUGAUUAUUGGGCCUAAAGCAUCCGUAGCCGGCUCUGUUAGUUUUCGGUUAAAUCUGUACGCUCAACGUACAGGCUGCCGGGAAUACUGCAGAGCUAGGGAGUGGGAGAGGUAGAC